AGUCGAGGGGUAUGGUUCUUCGGAACCAGAGACCGGCGCACGGGUGCGUAACGCGUAUGCAAUCUGCCUUUCACAGAGGGAUAGCCCAGAGAAAUUUGGAUUAAUACCUCAUAGUAUAGCGACAUCGCAUGAUGAUGCUAUUAAAGUCACAACGGUGAAAGAUGAGCAUGCGUCCCAUUAGCUAGUUGGUAAGGUAACGGCUUACCAAGGCAACGAUGGGUAGGGGUCCCGAGAGGGAGAUCCCCCACACUGGUACUGAGACACGGACCAGACUCCUACGGGAGGCAGCAGUGAGGAAUAUUGGUCAAUGGGCGCAAGCCUGAACCAGCCAUGCCGCGUGCAGGAUGACGGUCCUAUGGAUUGUAAACUGCUUUUGCACAGGAAGAAACACUGAUUCGUGAAUCAGCUUGACGGUACUGUGAGAAUAAGGAUCGGCUAACUCCGUGCCAGCAGCCGCGGUAAUACGGAGGAUCCAAGCGUUAUCCGGAAUCAUUGGGUUUAAAGGGUCCGUAGGCGGUCUGGUAAGUCAGUGGUGAAAGCCCAUCGCUCAACGGUGGAACGGCCAUUGAUACUGCUGGACUUGAAUUAUUAGGAAGUAACUAGAAUAUGUAGUGUAGCGGUGAAAUGCUUAGAGAUUACAUGGAAUACCAAUUGCGAAGGCAGGUUACUACUAAUGGAUUGACGCUGAUGGACGAAAGCGUGGGUAGCGAACAGGAUUAGAUACCCUGGUAGUCCACGCCGUAAACGAUGGAUACUAGCUGUUGGAAGCAAUUUCAGUGGCUAAGCGAAAGUGAUAAGUAUCCCACCUGGG
rnacentral:rRNA from 1 species